ACCUGAAAUAAAUGGUGGUCAUUUGGCUUCAAUUCC
rnacentral:sRNA from 1 species